CUCUCAAAUCCAUGGAAUCCUCUCCACCUCCUCAGUUUCCUCUACCCUUUGGAGUCAUUAUCCAGCACUCUUCCUGGGGCUUCUGCCCAAGGAUGCUACCCACCUGGGCUGCAAGCAGCUCUCUAAACCCAAGACCAACACAGUCCUCCAAGGAGGUGACACCACUGGGAAGCCAGGUAGGGGCUUCAAGGCUGCAGAUGGGGGCAGGAGCCUUGAUAUUAGGCACAAAGAGGGGACCUCAUGAAUUUGGGGGCAUCAAUAAAUUAGGGGGUCACUGGUCCCCUUCCUUCUUUUCUUCCUCUAGUACCCAGCAAGUGGUCCAACAGAGAAAGUACUGAAAACAGGCAUAGCAGAGGAGACAUUUGCCUGGAUUCCCCUUAAACAUGUUUUCCUAAGGUUAAUUAGUGGAAGUGACAAUAUAGAAAUAGGAAGCGAUGCUGCUGCUCAGUGACAUCCCAGGGUGGGUCUCCCAGGAUCCAGGAAGAAGUUAAGGGCUCUCAGCCCAGCGAUCUGCAGCUUUGCCAUCCUCUGGGGCCUUGCCCCAGUUUGCUGUUUUGAAUGGAAGAUGCUAACCCUUCUCUGGUCCCAGGUCGGGUCUAGUUCAAUUCUUUCCUUCUUUUUUUUUUUUUUUUUUUUGACAGAGUCUCACUCUGUCACCCAGGCUGGAGUGCAGUGGCGUGAUCUUGGCUCACUGCAACCUCCACCUCCCAGGUUCAAGUGAUCCUCCUGCCUCAGCCUUCCGAGUAGCUGGGAUUACAAGCAUGCGCCACCAGGCCUGGCUAAUUUUUGUAUUUUUAGUAGAGACGGGGUUUCACCAUGUAGGCCAGGCUGGUCUCAAACUCUUGACCUCGUGACCCACCCGCCUCAGCCUCCCAAAGUGCUGGGAUGAUAGGCGUGAGCCACUGCGCACGGCCAGGCCUAGUUCAAUUCUAAGUCUGCCCAGCACAAGGGGAAGAGGGUGCAAAUACCACCAUGAUAAAAGUCUCCCCACAGCUGCGCAUGCCGGGCUGCAGGCAGACGUAGCACCCCAUGCACAAUGAGCCGUUAUGGCCUCUUGCCUGACAGCCUUAUCUCCGAGGAAUGCCGGGGGAGUCAGGGCCAGCCAGGGAGAGCUUGACCAAGGGGCUUGAGCUCUUCUGCCCCCAAGGCCAGCUAUGCUCUUUGAUAACUAGCUUGGUGCUUGUGAUGUAGCUGGGGCAGGUCAUGGCGACAGUGACAAUGGGCUUUGUGCAGGACUUCACAGUUUGCCAGACUCAGUCACACCCAUCAGCUUGUUUGAUCCUCACAGUCAAAGGCUGAGGUUGGGGAUCUCAUAUCCUUUGUUUUGCAGACGGAGAAAUUGAGGCCAAGAAAAGUUAAGUCCCCCUCACCCAAGGCUGUGCUGUUCCACGACUCAAAGAAGCAGCUCCGGUUAGUUCAGACGGCGCCCAUUGUCCAGGGCUUAAAUCCUUCUCCGCAGCCGAAUUCCCUUGCCCCCUCUGGUCCGCCCAGACUUUGUCCAGCUACAGAGAGGCUUUAUUUAUCUUUUUAACAUUCUGGUUUUCCGAGCCUGCGUCCAGGGGGCUUCUUCCUAAGAGCUUAUUUUGGGGGGAAUGUCUGCCUGCUGCCUCUGAGCAUUCCUCCAACACAUUAACAACAAAUGAUGAUGAUAAUGGUAGGACCUGGGUACUGAGAGCCUACUAUGUGCCAGGCCUUGGAUACAGCACUUUUCUUAACUCAUACUGUUUCCUUCUCACCCAGGUCUACAAAGGAGGUGGCUUCUGCCAUGAUGGCCAUUUUACAGAUGGGGAAACUGAGGCACAGAAGAAGGGGCCACUUGGCCAAGUUCACAUAGGGGCAUACAGCAGGGUCAGGGAUGGUCUGAAUUCCAGAGUCUGGGCUCUUGACCACUACCCUGCUGCCGGAUGGCUGUGGGAGCUUGGGCCACCUAAAACAGGCCAGGGGAGGAGACUCCAGGGAUCUGGGGUUCUAGCUUCAUUCUUCUGACAACGUGUAUGAGAGCCAGCUGUUGGGCCCAGUUUUCAGGAAAAACUGCAGGGGUGUAGGGAGGGGGCAGCAGAGAAAGGGGGUCAAGAAACUUAGGAACCUCAUCUGGAAGGUGGGAGGAGUCUGACCUUAGCCAUCUCUAUCCAGAACCCACCUUUCAUUGCACGAAAAUAAUUCUCCAUCCAUCAUGAUUUAACCCUAAUAUGCUAAAAAGCAACACAUUUUUCUUAUGACAAAAGUUAAACACGUAAAUUACAGAGAGCUUGAAAUAUAUAAAAUUAGGUAAAGAGAGCAUAUAAAAUGUUUGGCGUUGUCCUUGGCAUGGCGUGUUUAACAUGAGUAAGCUAUCAUCAUCAGCAUUAUCAAUGUUUUUUUGAGUCGGAGUUUCUCUCUUAUUGCCCAGGUUGGAGGGCAGUGGCACAAUCUCGGCUCACUGUAACCUCCGCCUCCUGGGUUCAAGCGAUCCUCCUGCCUCAGCCUCCUGAGGAGCUGGGAUUACAGGCAUGCAUCACCAUGCCUGGCUAAUUUUGUAUUUUUAGUAGAGAUGGGGUUUCCCCAUGUUGGUCAGGCUGGUCUUGAAC
rnacentral:lncRNA from 10 species